rfam:Mycobacterium llatzerense strain CLTC14 Mllat_contig000071, whole genome shotgun sequence.
AGCUCGACCGGAUCGCAGUUGCGGGUGACCACGAGGUAGUCGCGCAGGGCGAUGCCGUGCCGGUUCUC